rnacentral:rRNA from 1 species
UCACUAGUCGAGUGACGCUGCGCCGAAAAUGUACCGGGGCUAAGCAUAGUACCGAAACUGUGGAUGCAUAUCAAAGGAUAUGCGUGGUAGGAGAGCGUUCUAAGAGCGGCGAAGUUAGAUCGAGAGGACUAAUGGAGCGCUUAGAAGUGAGAAUGCCGGUAUGAGUAGCGAAAGAUAGGUGAGAAUCCUAUCCGCCGAAAGACUAAGGUUUCCUGGGGCAGGCUCGUCCGCCCAGGGUAAGUCGGGACCUAAGGUAAGGCCGAGAGGCGUAGCCGAUGGACAACAGGUAGAGAUUCCUGUACUGAAAUUGUUCGAUAAGAGCAAAGGAGGGACGCAGGAGGCUAAUGACGCAUGUAGCUGGAAAAACAUGUGCAAGCAGUAAGAAAAAAGAUGAGUCAAAUGCUUAUGUUUAGAUUUCAAGCUGUGACGCGGAGUGAAAUCAAAGUAGCGAAGGUCAUGAUGUCACACUGCCAAGAAAAGCUUCUAGCCAGAGCAAUUUUACCCGUACCGCAAACCGACACAGGUAGUCGAGUGGAGAACACUCAGGUGAGCGAGAGAACUCUCGUUAAGGAACUCGGCAAAAUGACCCCGUAACUUCGGGAGAAGGGGUGCUGAUGGUAAAAGAUCAGCCGCAGUGAAUAGGCCCAAGCAACUGUUUAUCAAAAACACAGGUAUCUGCAAAAUCGUAAGAUGACGUAUAGGUGCUGACACCUGCCCGGUGCUGGAAGGUUAAGAGGAGAGCUUAGCGCAAGCGAAGGUUUGAAUUGAAGCCCCAGUAAACGGCGGCCGUAACUAUAACGGUCCUAAGGUAGCGAAAUUCCUUGUCGGGUAAGUUCCGACCUGCACGAAAGGUGUAAUGAUUUGGGCACUGUCUCAACGAGAGACUCGGUGAAAUUAUAAUACCCGUGAAGAUGCGGGUUACCCGCGACAGGACGGAAAGACCCCAUGGAGCUUUACUGUAGCUUGAUAUUGAGUAUUUGUUAAACAUGUACAGGAUAGGUAGGAGCCAGAGAAAGUAGGACGCUAGUCUUACUGGAGGCAAUGUUGGGAUACUACCCUUGUUUGAUGGAUCCUCUAACUCGCAGAGCUGAGCGUUCUGGAGGACAGUGUCAGGUGGGCAGUUUGACUGGGGCGGUCGCCUCCUAAAAUGUAACGGAGGCGCCCAAAGGUUCCCUCAGAAUGGUUGGAAAUCAUUCGCAGAGUGUAAAGGUAUAAGGGAGCUUGACUGCGAGAGCUACAACUCGAGCAGGGACGAAAGUCGGGCUUAGUGAUCCGGUGGUUCCGUAUGGAAGGGCCAUCGCUCAACGGAUAAAAGCUACCCUGGGGAUAACAGGCUUAUC